rnacentral:tRNA from 1 species
AGUAAAAUGGCUGAAAUUUUAGGCGAUAAAUUGUAAAUUUAUUCAUGAAUGAUUAUUCUUUUACU